rnacentral:misc_RNA from 1 species
GAUGAAGAACGUAGCGAAAUGCGAUAACUAAUGUGAAUUGCAGAAUUCAGUGAAUCAUCGAGUCUUUGAACGCACAUUGCGCCCCCUGGUAUUCCGGGGGGCAUGCCUGUCCGAGCGUCAUUGCUGCCCUCAAGCACGGCUUGUGUGUUGGGCCUCCGUCCUCCUCCCGGGGGACGGGCCCGAAAGGCAGCGGCGGCACCGCGUCCGGUCCUCGAGCGUAUGGGGCUUCGUCACCCGCUCUUGUAGGCCCGGCCGGCGCUUGCCGACACAUCAAUCUUUUUUCCAGGUUGACCUCGGAUCAGGUAGGGAUACCCGCUGAACUUAAGCAUAUCAAAAGCGGAGGA